rnacentral:rRNA from 1 species
AUUGAACGCUGGCGGCAGGCUUAACACAUGCAAGUCGAGCGGGGUGAUGGUGCUUGCACUAUCACUUAGCGGCGGACGGGUGAGUAAUGCUUAGGAAUCUGCCUAUUAGUGGGGGGCAACAUCUCGAAAGGGAUGCUAAUACCGCAUACGUCCUACGGGAGAAAGCAGGGGAUCACUUGUGACCUUGCGCUAAUAGAUGAGCCUAAGUCGGAUUAGCUAGUUGGUGGGGUAAAGGCCUACCAAGGCGACGAUCUGUAGCGGGUCUGAGAGGAUGAUCCGCCACACUGGGACUGAGACACGGCCCAGACUCCUACGGGAGGCAGCAGUGGGGAAUAUUGGACAAUGGGGGGAACCCUGAUCCCGCCAUGCCGCGUGUGUGAAGAAGGCCUUAUGGUUGUAAAGCACUUUAAGCGAGGAGGAGGCUCUUUUGGUUAAUACCCAAGAUGAGUGGACGUUACUCGCAGAAUAAGCACCGGCUAACUCUGUGCCAGCAGCCGCAGUAA